rnacentral:rRNA from 1 species
UACGAAGGGGGCUAGCGUUGCUCGGAAUCACUGGGCGUAAAGCGCACGUAGGCGGCUUUUUAAGUCAGGGGUGAAAUCCUGGAGCUCAACUCCAGAACUGCCUUUGAUACUGAGAGCUUGAGUCCGGGAGAGGUGAGUGGAACUGCGAGUGUAGAGGUGAAAUUCGUAGAUAUUCGCAAGAACACCAGUGGCGAAGGCGGCUCACUGGCCCGGUACUGACGCUGAGGUGCGAAAGCGUGGGGAGCAAGCAGG